ACAAUGGCAUAUACAAAGAGAAGCGACCUCGCGAGAGCAAGCGGACCUCAUAAAGUAUGUCGUAGUCCGGAUUGGAGUCUGCAACUCGACUCCAUGAAGUCGGAAUCGCUAGUAAUCGUAGAUCAGAAUGCUACGGUGAAUACGUUCCCGGGCCUUGUACACACCGCCCGUCACACCAUGGGAGUGGGUUGCAAAAGAAGUAGGUAGCUUAACCUUCGGGAGGGCGCUUACCACUUUGUGAUUCAUGACUGGGGUGAAGUCGUAACAAGGU
rnacentral:rRNA from 1 species